rnacentral:rRNA from 1 species
ACAAGCGUGGAGCAUGUGUUUAAUUCGAUGAUACGCGAGGAACCUUACCUGGGCUCAAAUGUAUGUUGACGUAUUCUGAAAGGGAUACUUCUUCGGACAAUAUACAAGGUGCUGCAUGGUUGUCGUCAGCUCGUGCCGUGAGGUGUCGGGUUAAGUCCCAUAACGAGCGCAACCCCUAUCAUUAGUUGCCAUCAGGUCAAGCUGGGGACUCUAAUGAAACUGCCUACGCAAGUAGUGAGGAAGGUGGGGAUGACGUCAAAUCAGCACGGCCCUUACGUCCAGGGCUACACACGUGCUACAAUGGCCGGUACAAAGGGCAGCUACCUGGUGACAGGAUGCUAAUCUCAAAAGUCGGUCUCAGUUCGGAUCGGAGUCUGCAACCCGACUCCGUGAAGUUGGAUUCGCUAGUAAUCGCGCAUCAGCCAUGGCGCGGUGAAUACGUUCCCGGGCCUU